UAUUUUCUCUUGCGCUUUGUUAUUUGUUCCUUUUGACCGUUCAGUAUCACAUGCCAUGUUCAGGACCCUGUAUCGUUCCAGGGCAGAUGGACCUUUCCCCUGUCCUCAGGGAGGAAUGCUUAUUCCUCCUUGGAGCAGAUCACUGGUUAACAAAGGGAAAGCUUUCCUAGCCUGAAGCUGCCGGAUAAGUGGACUUUCUAAAGGUCAGACCACACGAGAUUCAAAGGAGAAUGCUAUUGCAUUCUGGUUUUGAGGCCCUGAGGGACUGUGGGAGUUUCAAGAACAUGUGGAGCUACAGGUGAGGCCUUUGAACUGUAUGAGUCUUCCAAACCCAA